UUUGAUCAUGGCCUGAUUGAAGCGCUGGCGGAUGCUUUGGCACAUGCAAGUCGAACGGCAGCACGGACUUCGGUCUGCGGCGAGGCGAACGGGUGAGUAAUGUAUCGGAACGUGCCUAGUAGCGGGGAUAAUCACGCGAAAGCGUAGCUAAUACCGCACAUACGCCCUUCGGGGAAAGCGGGGACCUUCGGGCCUCGCACUAUGAUGUGGCCGAUAUCGGAUUAGCCAGUUGGUGGGGUAACGGCUACCAAGGCGUGACGAUCCGUAGCUGGUUUGAGAGGACGACCAGCCACACUGGGACUGAGACACGGCCCAGACUCCUACGGGAGGCAGCAGUGGGGAAUUCUUGACAAUGGGGGAAACCUGAUCCAGCCACCGGCGUGCGAUGGCUACCUCGCUGUGUGCCACCCUUGGCAGGAAAAGAAACGGCACGGGAUAAUACCCGCAACUGACGGUACCUGCAGAAUAAGCACCGGCUAACCACGCCAGCAGCCGCGGUAAUACGUAGGGUGCAAGCGUUAAUCGGAAUUACUAUGCAACAGCGUGCGUGCAGGCGGUUCUGGAAAGAAAGAUGUGAAAUCCCAGAGUUUAACUUUGAACUGCAUUUUUAACUACCGAGCUAGAGUGUGUCAGAGGGAGGUGGAAUUCCGCGUGUAGCAGUGAAAUGCAGAUAUGCGGAGGAACACCGAUGGCGAAGGCAGCCUCCUGGGAUAACACUGACGUUUGCGCACGAAAGGGGGAGCAAACAGGAUUAGAUACCUCCUGGUAGUCCACGCCCUAAACGAUGUCAACUUAGCUUUCGUUGGGGCCUUCGGCCUUGGUAGCGCAGCUAACGCGGUGAAGUUGACCGCCCAGAUACGGUCGCAGAUUAAACUCAAAGGAAUUGACGGGGACCGCACAAGCGGUGGAUGAUGUGGAUUAAUUCGAUGCAACGCGAAAACCUUACCUACCCUUGACAUGUCUGGAAUCCCGAAGAGAUUUGGGAGUGUCGCAAGAGAACCGAACACAGGUGCUGCAUGGCUGUCGUCAGCUCGUGUCGUGAGAUGUUGGGUUAAGUCCCGCAACGAGCGUAAACCUUGUCAUUAGUUACAUGAAAGGGCACCUUAAUGAGACUGCCGGUGACAAACUGGAGGAAGGUGGGGAUGACGUCAAGUCCUCAUGGCCCUUAUGGGUAGGGCUUCACACGUCAUACAAUGGUCGGGAUAGAGGGUCGCCAACCCGCGAGGGGGAGCCAAUCCCAGAAACCCGAUCGUAGUCCGGAUCGCAGUCUGCAACUCGACUGCGUGAAGUCGGACCGCUAGUAAUCGCGGACCAGCAUGUCGCGGUGAAUAAUGUUCCCGGGUCUUGUACACACCGCCCGUCAUACACCAUGGGGAGUGGGUUUUACCAGAAGUAGUUACCUAACCGUAAGGAGGGCGAUUACCACGGUAGGAUUCAUGACUGGGGUGAAGUCGUAACAAGGUAA
rnacentral:rRNA from 1 species